AGAGUUUGAUCAUGGCUCAGGAUGAACGCUAGCUACAGGCUUAACACAUGCAAGUCGAGGGGAAACGACAUCGAAAGCUUGCUUUUGAUGGGCGUCGACCGGCGCACGGGUGAGUAACGCGUAUCCAACCUGCCCACCACUUGGGGAUAACCUUGCGAAAGUAAGACUAAUACCCAAUGACGUCUCUAGAAGACAUCUGAAGGAGAUUAAAGAUUUAUCGGUGAUGGAUGGGGAUGCGUCUGAUUAGCUUGUUGGCGGGGUAACGGCCGACCAAGGCGACGAUCAGUAGGGGUUCUGGAGAGGAAGGUCCCCANACUUGGAACUGAGACACGGUCCAAACUCCUAACGGGAGGAA
rnacentral:rRNA from 1 species